rnacentral:rRNA from 1 species
AGUCGAACGAGAAGGCGUAGCAAUACGCUUGUACAGUGGCGAACGGGUGAGUAAUGCGUGGGCAACCUACCCUCGAGUGGGGAACAACCAGCCGAAAGGUUGGCUAAUACCGCGUACGCUCCUGGGGCUGCGGCUCCGGGAGGAAAGCCGGACCGUGGGUUCGGCGCUCAAGGAUGGGCUCAUGUCCUAUCAGCUAGUUGGUAGGGUAACGGCCUACCAAGGCUCUGACGGGUAGCUGGUCUGAGAGGACGAUCAGCCACACUGGCACUGCGACACGGGCCAGACUCCUACGGGAGGCAGCAGUGAGGAAUAUUGCGCAAUGGGCGAAAGCCUGACGCAGCGACGCCGCGUGGGGGAUGAAGGUCUUCGGAUUGUAAACCCCUUUCGGGAGGGAAGAUGGGACGGGCAACCGUCCGGACGGUACCUCCAGAAGCAGCCACGGCUAACUUCGUGCCAGCAGCCGCGGUAAUACGAAGGUGGCAAGCGUUGUUCGGAUUUACUGGGCGUACAGGGUGCGUAGGCGGUGCGGCAAGUCGGGAGUGAAAUCUCUGGGCUUAACUCAGAGGCUGCUUCCGAAACUGCCGUGCUCGAGUGCGGGAGA